UACGUAGGGUGCAAGCGUUGUCCGGAAUUAUUGGGCGUAAAGAGCUCGUAGGCGGUCUGUUGCGUCGGCUGUGAAAAACCCGGGGCUCAACUCCGGGCCUGCAGCCGAUACGGGCAGACUAGAGUUCGGCAGGGGAGACUGGAAUUCCUGGUGUAGCGGUGAAAUGCGCAGAUAUCAGGAGGAACACCGGUGGCGAAGGCGGGUCUCUGGGCCGAUACUGACGCUGAGGAGCGAAAGCGUGGGGAGCGAACAGG
rnacentral:rRNA from 1 species